GGUUAUUACACAUCUUUCCACACACAGACAUGCACUUCUGAGAAGUGCAGUUGCAAGAUUUGAAAUGAAAUGUCGAUUAAUGAUUCAGCCUCUGGGAAGAUUUUGCGUGGUUCAUAAUAGAGCAGAGGUCAAAGCCAUCAGUGAAUUUAUGAGAAAAACAGAAAACAAAUAUUUUCAGAAGAGAGAGACUCAGAGCUUUGUAUCUACUUACCUACAUUUAGUCUGUACCUGAGAACAAGCAGAUAGAUGUGAGUAAGAGCAUACAGAUACAUCACAGUGUGAAGAUGAGCACCACAAGGCUGAACUAAAC
ensembl:lncRNA